UUCUACUUAGGAUUUGACGACUUUACCGUGGUGCGGAAAUGAUACGCAUUCAGCAGAAACUGUACUUGGAAUUUCGAAUUUUGCUCGUUUGCUGAUGUGACAAUUAAUAACCAGAAACCUGGGUAAAGUGGAGUAGGGGGUUUGACAGAGGGCGCUCUCCCGCCCUACCUACCACUCCUUGUCAAGUGCAGACCCAACAGGAAGAGACUGUCUUGACACUACCCGGACUUGACCUUGCUGCUUGGAGAGAUCCUGUUUUCCCCUAAUACUAAUAUCUGCUGAAACGCACCACCUUUAUCAGAAACAUCAACCUUUAUGUUCUUCAUUUAGUUACUGUGGACAGCCUACAUAUGCCAGACCCCGAAGGAACUGAAGAAGAUACAGGGUCUCUCUCUUCCACAAAAGGGCGCCUGCCUCGCAGCCAGCGAUGGGCUAUGACAUUAGUAGGUGCUCUAAUAGGGCUGUCCUGUGACAAAGUGCCUCACUGUGUCUGAGGAGCUGCAGAAAGAAGCAAGACUGAGGAAUUCGGAUCUCAAAGACUGGCUCCCAUAUGUUUGUUCCAUAAACAAUUUGAGUGGGACGUGUCAGGUGAAGGAAAAGAGUAUCACGCAGCUGGAACAACAUAGAAAAGAUAUGCAAGAGAUUAAAAUGCUGAGUGGUUAGGGGAGACAGAAGAGACAGACGAGAGGCCUCCAGGUCCCAAGGAUUAAAUUCCCACCUCCCCUCUGCUUCUGGUUGACUUUGUGGGGGAAACCCAGGAUGAGACAGACACUGUUCAUCGCAUAAGGGGAACCCUGGCUUAGACCCUCUUCCGUGCCCUCCUUUUAA